GUUGGUGCAAAUGAAGACUGGUGCAGCCACUGUGGGAAACAGUAUGGAAUUUCCUCAGAAAACUAAAUAUGGAACUGCCUUUUGACCCAGAUAUUCCACUGCUGGAAUUAUACCCUAAAAACAGUGAAACACUAAUCCAAUAGAACCUCUGCAUCCCAAUGUUCAUAGCAGCAGAAUUUACAAUAGCCAAAUGCUGGAAGCAACCUAAAUGCCCAUUAGUAAAUGAGUGGAUCAAAAACUAUGGUACAUUUACACGAUGGAAUACU